GAACCACCAAGCAGAGGAGUGGGGUCGAACAAAAAACAACCAGAGGGCCGACUGCUUUUGCUUCUUCUCCUCGCGGCUCAGCAACCCAGGCUGCUCACCCACGACUAGAUAAAAGCAGGGAAGAAAGGGGAUCGAGGCGGACAAGAGGAAGAACGAGAUCGAGGGUUUCGGGAGGUUGGCAGCGCGGCUGAUCCACUUGUUCUCUGCUCCGGGUGGUCUGCCGACCUCCCGCGAAGGCUGCCAUGAUUCCUCCCCAAGUCCGCGCCCUCCGCUACUGAUCUUCACCAAGUCAUCUUCACCAGCUCAACCCCAAGGAUCCUCCUCUGCUACUCUUCUUCAACGUCCACGUGGAAGUUGCUCCUGCUACAGAUCGUCUCCAAUGUGCCCCUGUUGUUCUUCUUCGCCUACAACAUCUACAGCUUCGAAUUGAAGAUCAUCAAGACCAUAGGCUCUGAACCUUUCUCUUCUCUUGUUUCUGUUCUCUGAAUAUAUGAACUGUUGGGUCUGAAAUUUACUUUGUUACUUGUGUACCUUUGCUGAACCCCCAUCUAUCCUUGCUGAAUUGUUGUUACUCUUUGCUGGAUAUUGAGUUAGUAGUUAUUUUCUUGUGAGCUA